rfam:Eucalyptus grandis cultivar BRASTZ1 unplaced genomic scaffold scaffold_11, whole genome shotgun sequence.
GUAAUGUUUCUUGCUCAAAUGAGUAUUCCAACCGCAGUUAGCUCCAAGAACUGGGACAGAACAGUUUGGUCGUGGUUGCUUUAGCAACUGAAACCUUCUGCUCUCUCUGAUGCUGCUGUCCUGAGAUGCUCAUUUGAGCAAGCAAUGUUAU